rnacentral:rRNA from 1 species
CCUACGGGAGGCAGCAGUGAGGAAUAUUGGUCAAUGGGCGGGAGCCUGAACCAGCCAAGCCGCGUGAGGGAAGAAGGUACAGCGUAUCGUAAACCUCUUUUGUCAGGGAACAAAGGCGGGGACUAGUCCCCGGAUGAGUGUACCUGAAGAAAAAGCAUCGGCUAACUCCGUGCCAGCAGCCGCGGUAAUACGGAGGAUGCGAGCGUUAUCCGGAUUUAUGGGGUUUAAAGGGUGCGCAGGCGGCCGGUUAAGUCAGCUGUAAAAGCCCGGGGCUCAACCCCGGCGAGCCGUUGAAACUGGCGGGCUGGAGUUGGAGAGACGUACGCGGAAUGCGCGGUGUAGCGGUGAAAUGCUUAGAUAUCGCGCAGAACCCCGAUUGCGAAGGUAGCGUACCGGCUCCACACUGACGCUGAGGCACGAAAGCGUGGGUAUCGAACAGGAUUAGAUACCCCAGUAGUC